AAUAAGCGGAGGAAAAGAAACUAACAAGGAUUCCCCUAGUAACUGCGAGUGAAGCGGGAAAAGCUCAAAUUUAAAAUCUGUCAGUCUUUGGCUGUCCGAGUUGUAAUCUAGAGAAGUGUUAUCCGCGCUGGACCGUGUACAAGUCUCCUGGAAUGGAGCGUCAUAGAGGGUGAGAAUCCCGUCUUUGACACGGACUGCCAGGGCUUUGUGAUGCGCUCUCAAAGAGUCGAGUUGUUUGGGAAUGCAGCUCAAAAUGGGUGGUAAAUUCCAUCUAAAGCUAAAUAUUGGCGAGAGACCGAUAGCGAACAAGUACCGUGAGGGAAAGAUGAAAAGAACUUUGGAAAGAGAGUUAAACAGUACGUGAAAUUGCUGAAAGGGAAACGCUUGAAGUCAGUCGCGUUGGCCAGGGAUCAACCUUGCUCUUGCUUGGUGUACUUUCUGGUUGACGGGUCAGCAUCAAUUUCGACUGUUGGAAAAAGAUCAAGGGAAUGUGGCAUCUUUGGAUGUGUUAUAGCCCUUGAUUGUAUACAAUAGUUGGGAUUGAGGAACUCAGCACGCCGCAAGGCUUGGGUUUUAAUUUAAACCACAUACGUGCUUAGGAUGCUGGCAUAAUGGCUUUAAUCGACCCGUCUUGAAACACGGACCAAGGAGUCUAACAUGCCUGCGAGUGUUUGGGUGGAAAACCCGAGCGCGUAAUGAAAGUGAAAGUUGAGAUCCCUGUCAUGGGGAGCAUCGACGCCUGGACCAGACCUUUUGUGACGGUUCCACGGUAGAGCAUGUAUGUUGGGACCCGAAAGAUGGUGAACUAUGCCUGAAUAGGGUGAAGCCAGAGGAAACUCUGGUGGAGGCUCGUAGCGAUUCUGACGUGCAAAUCGAUCGUCAAAUUUGGGUAUAGGGGCGAAAGACUAAUCGAACCAUCUAGUAGCUGGU
rnacentral:rRNA from 1 species